UACGGAGGGGGCUAGCGUUGUCCGGAUUUAUUGGGCGUAAAGAGCGUGUAGGCGGCCAGAUAGGUCUGCUGUGAAAACUCGAGGCUCAACCUCGAGAUGUCGGCGGAAACCAUUUGGCUAGAGUCCGGAAGAGGAAAGUGGAAAUUCCUGGUGUAGCGGUGAAAUGCGCAGAUAUCAGGAAGAACACCCGUGGCGAAGGGCGGCUU
rnacentral:rRNA from 1 species